rnacentral:tRNA from 1 species
GAGGGUAUAGCUUAGUGGUAGAGUGUGUAUUUAGCGUGCACGAGGUCCUGGGUUAAAUCCCCAAUACCUUCA